UGAAGUGUGUUGUAAGUGGUUUUGUCCCACAUCGGUGGAUUAGUGGAAAAAUCUGUAGUAUAUAUUAAGAUAUGUUUUAUACAUGUUCAAAACAUGUGAGAGAGAAAAGAAUAAGCCCCACGCGCGCGCCGCCGCCGCCGCCAAGCCAAGCCGGGCCGGGCCGGGCACGGGCGUGUUGGUCGAAUGGGCCUUCGGGCCUAAGGCGAGUAUUCUU
rnacentral:lncRNA from 1 species